rnacentral:lncRNA from 1 species
ACAGAAGGCAUGUGCUUCACAGGAGACUGAGGCGUGUGGAAAGGAACGAUGAGAGAAGAGAGUCAGUGAAGCUCAAAAAGUAGCUUCAGUGAGGGGAGGUCAGUAGUAUUCAAAACUUCAGCAAGGACAAGAACUGGGGAGGAACUCAUCACAUGAUAUUAGAGACCACUGUUUGCCACCGACCAGGUGGCUGAACUGUAGCACCCAUCCCCACGCCCGGCUGCUGGAAGAUGGAGAGUAAAUAAAGACGGAGGAAGUGGAGACACACAAUAUUGUUAGACAAGAAAGCAAAUUGUUCAGCAAUUUGUAUAACAAGAUCCCAAAUAAGAAUCUGUUUAAGUAUACGUGCAAAGAGAAGACUAAAAAUAUCUACAUCACCGAUAAAAAAAGUACUAACAUAUUUAUUGCUUUAUUUACUAGUGGCCAGUCACUAUAAGUGUUGUACACGCACUUACAUUAACCUGUUUAAUUUUCACAGCAAUUCCCUGAGGGGCUGAGGUUAUACAUUUUGUACAAGGGGAAACGAAGGCACAGAGAGGUGAGUUUACUUGACCAAAGUCAGGUACCGGAUGUGCGACAGAGCCAAGAUGCGAACCUUGAGUCUAAUUUUGUAGUCUGCUCACUGAAGCCAAGAGUAUACUGCCUUCCAUCAUCCCAGGCUUUUCCUCUAGAUGGUGAGAUUGAUGACUUCUACCAAUUCGAAAGAAAGCUCAGUGGAGAAAGAGAAGUCAAAGAUACAAGAAACAAAAGAUAAGAGAGGAAGCAGGGUGUAAAACGGACUGGCAGAUGGAUGGAAGAUUUGAAGCAUGGUGUGUCUGUAGAGAAAAUGUGGAAGAAUGUUCUAGGCUGAGUUGUAGAGUUCAGAGAGGCACUGGGUGUGUCCUUGGGUUACAAGGAGUCUGGAGCAUAAGUACAUGAACAUAAGGGAGGAAAUUUUAAAAAUGAGUCAUACCCUUGCAAGGAAUAAGGGUAGCUUCAAAGGAAAGACACUGGGUACAGUUAGUCGAAGAUAUAAAUUUUGAGGUAGAGGGAAUCUAUGAUUUUGCGUGUCUACGUUUUUCAGUGGAUAAAGUAGGUUGUAAGAUCUCCUAAUAAAACUGAGGAGGCACUGGUUUGGUUGAAGGUA